AUGUGUCUUCUGGGACCUGGUGCAGAACAGAUGCCAGUGAGCUGCUUGAGGAGAGAAGGAAGGGUUUUCAUCUUCAGCCUCACUUCUGCAGUCACAUGCUUGGCUAGAAGAAGGGAGUUUCAAAGUUCCCAGCACAAAAAAAAAUGAGUAUUUGGGUUGAUGGAAUGCUAGUGACCCUGACUGACCAUCACAGACACCGCACACAGAGCCAGCCUGCUGAGUUCCUCGCAUGGAGUCACUCGGAUCUCUCCUUCCUUCCUGUCUCCUCUGAAGGACACUGGUGAGUCCAUGAUGCCCAUUUAUGUAACCCAGGCUACUCUCCCAAUCUGAAUCUCUGCUGAUGGGCAAACUUAACCCCAUUCACGACCUUA